CGCGGGGUGGAGCAGUCUGGUAGCUCGUCGGGCUCAUAACCCGAAGGUCAGUGGUUCAAAUCCACUCCCCGCAACCA
rnacentral:tRNA from 1 species